UUAAGUAGAUUAAGUGAUGUCGAAUUUGGAUUUGCAGAUUUCUUAAAAUAGCUACAAUUACAAGUAUCUUCAGUUAGAGGUGCCAAGGUUGUUACUGAUCCAAGUAAUGGGCGAUCAAAAGGUUAUGGAUUUGUUAAAUUUGCAGAGGAAAGUGAAAGGAACCGGGCCAUGGCUGAAAAUGAAAUGAAUGGUUUGUAUUGCUCAACAAGGCGUAUUAUCAGUAUUGUUAAGAACUUAGCCAACGUUGAUAUCUUCUUCUGUGUUUGCCUUUGACUGGUUUUGUAAAAUAUAUUGGACCGGAGUCGAGAGCAUGAAGAGUGCCACUAUAUUAUGUAAGUGAUAUGACUAGUACCUGAAGAAAGAAGAAAGAGGUUCAAGCGGAAAGUUAUGUUGAUCGUCAAUGUCGCUUCAAGGUUCUUUCUUCAUUGUCUUGAUUGCCAAGGUGGGACAAUCGAACUUCAGCAUUAACACCGGAGAAAGAGAUAUUCUACCUAGUGGCGAUCCUAACAUCGGCAGUGAAUGUAGUAACAUUAGUGAAUGUUUGUAUUGCUCAACAAGGUCAUGUGAAUGUAGUAACAUUAGUGAUAAUCAAAUAUGACAAAAGUUGGUAUCCUUUACAUUGUAGAUAUUUGUUUUGUAGUUUAGGUUGAAAUUUGUAGGGUUUUUUUUGUA